AAUAUAUGAAAAGCAUUUUUGAGAUGAUUCGUGCUAGCCAGCGACCUUUGUCUGAAAAAGAGAAAGAAAUUGAAGAUGCUACUUGCUUAUCUUGGGAACAAUUACUUUUUUGUCUUGAAGAAGCUUCCAACUUCUUGGUCUAUAAAAUUC